UGCCAGCCGCCGCGGUAAUACGGAGGGUGCAAGCGUUAAUCGGAAUUACUGGGCGUAAAGGGUGCGUAGGUUGUUAUGCAAGUUGGCUGUGAAAUUCCUGGGCUUAACCUAGGGUGGUCAACCAAGACUGCAUGACUUGAGUAUGGGAGAGGGUAUUGGAAUUUCCGGUGUAGCGGUGAAAUGCGUAGAGAUCGGAAGGAACACCAGUGGCGAAGGCGGAUACCUGGCCCAAUACUGACACUGAGGCACGAAAGCGUGGGGAGCAAACAGGAUUAGAUA
rnacentral:rRNA from 1 species